UUUGGCCUUUUGGCCAAGAUCAAGUGUAGUAUCUGUUCUUAACAGUUUAAUGUCUGAUAUGUCCUCUAUAAGGGGC
ensembl:snRNA U2 U2 spliceosomal RNA